rnacentral:rRNA from 1 species
UUCAUGCGGGUGCUAUACAUGCAAGUCGAGCGGACAGAUGGGAGCUUGCUCCCUGAUGUUAGCGGCGGACGGGUGAGUAACACGUGGGUAACCUGCCUGUAAGACUGGGAUAACUCCGGGAAACCGGGGCUAAUACCGGAUGGUUGUCUGAACCGCAUGGUUCAGACAUAAAAGGUGGCUUCGGCUACCACUUACAGAUGGACCCGCGGCGCAUUAGCUAGUUGGUGAGGUAACGGCUCACCAAGGCGACGAUGCGUAGCCGACCUGAGAGGGUGAUCGGCCACACUGGGACUGAGACACGGCCCAGACUCCUACGGGAGGCAGCAGUAGGGAAUCUUCCGCAAUGGACGAAAGUCUGACGGAGCAACGCCGCGUGAGUGAUGAAGGUUUUCGGAUCGUAAAGCUCUGUUGUUAGGGAAGAACAAGUGCCGUUCAAAUAGGGCGGCACCUUGACGGUACCUAACCAGAAAGCCACGGCUAACUACGUGCCAGCAGCCGCGGUAAUACGUAGGUGGCAAGCGUUGUCCGGAAUUAUUGGGCGUAAAGGGCUCGCAGGCGGUUUCUUAAGUCUGAUGUGAAAGCCCCCGGCUCAACCGGGGAGGGUCAUUGGAAACUGGGGAACUUGAGUGCAGAAGAGGAGAGUGGAAUUCCACGUGUAGCGGUGAAAUGCGUAGAGAUGUGGAGGAACACCAGUGGCGAAGGCGACUCUCUGGUCUGUAACUGACGCUGAGAGCGAAAGCGUGGGGGACGAAC